GCUGGCGGCCUCCUGAGAGUGGAUGUGGUCAGUGACAUCGCCCUGGAAGGGCUGGAUGACCUGGCCCUUCCGUCGCCGCUGAUACCGCACCAGCUGCUUGUCCAGAUUGUCCCCUGUGAGCACAAGCAGUCGCCAUGAGAGGUGGUUUUGAAGUGAGACGCCAACACGCUGACUUUGCCUGUGAUGAGCUCGUAGCUGAUCUCCUUCAGGAACUCGUUGGUGGUCAGCAUGCCUUCAGCUAAAGCCCUCGCUUGGUACUUCCCUGUGGUGGAUACAUAUUUUUUCAUAUUUUUAACAACGGCCGCACAGUAAUAGCGUUCCGAUUCACGAGAGCUGCUACGAGGCACGUACCCAAAUAGGCUUGUGAUUGCCUAUUAACGCCACAAGGUGUCAGUAAAGCAUUUCUAUAUUUUUGGAAAAGCAGCAUGUGAAAUGAUUACAACGUCGCAAACGUACCUAAUACCAUCACGCAGAACUCGUUGCCGCUCAUCUUGGAGGAGUAUAUGAUAAGCACGUAGGUGGGAAGCGACUGCCGGAGGUGGGGGCCCUCACUGAGGGAGCGCAGUGACUCGCAGAUGCCCUCGCCCAGCGAAUUGUGGGUGACCACCACUUGGACCGCGCCCCCGGAAACGCUGGCCUCCAAGCGAGCCAGCCAAGGCAGCUGGGACGGGGAGAUAGCGGGACCGCCGGGACAGCAGAGCAUGGCCUUCAGGACGAUCUGCUCUAGUUCUUCACGAAGGGGGAUCUGAUCCGGACCUGCGCAACAGCUCACCUAGACGUGCCAGGUACUGCAACGUGAGCAGAAUCAUGGUCUCCACGCUGAGCUGCUGGCUGCCGCUAAGGCCGAGGCUCUCCAAUGUGUUCUCGCUCAGUGGGCUGUUCUUGUAGCAGCCCACCAGCAAGGGGCUCACCACCACUUCCCCCACAUUGCCGUAGAAAUAAGUAGCCAACGAAGAAGAAGAAGAGGAGGAGGAGUCUGGUACCAAUGAGGAUGACGGGGCGAACUCCCACACAGUUGAGCAGGUUGUCUGGGAUGAUGACGGAUGCCCCCGCGCUGACAGGCUGAGGCUGGAUGACGCCCGGCCCGGGGGCUUGGGGAGAAACCACAGAACCUACGAUAGAACCUGCACAGUAAACACGGGGACGAAAACACAGGCAUGAUCUAAUAUUCUAUUCGGGUCAAAGGCAUUUUGGCGGGCAAUUUACAUUUAAUAAUGGCAGAAAAGUUUAUUUUUUGUAUUAUUCCUAAUUCUCCAGUCGCUAGAUCUAUCUCCAUGGAGAUAAGAGGGUGACUCAUCCCUAAACGAGAAUGUCAGCAAUGUUGUUUUGUCGUCCUCAUAACAGACUUGGAGAGAUUAUUAGGGGGAGAAAAAAAACUGUCAUGAACAUGUCUGCUGAAAAGCAGACCACAUGCAGGUCAAGCUAAGAGUCUGAUUCACGGAUCGUGGUGCAAAAACUUCCUCAAGAAUAUUCCGGAACCCACCCGGAGGGCAGACGACAGGUCGGAUGGCCGGCACGGGGACAGCCGUGGGCGGGACCGGGACCAUUGAAGUGGGAUGCCACCUUCGAUGGCGCUUCUUGGGAGGACCGGAGUUCAUGGCAGAUGACACUAAUCCACACACACACACAAAAAAACAUCAAAUUGUCACGUUCAAUGUGGAACACAACAAGCAAGCAGUGGCGGACGCAAGUCUCACCCGGACUGUCUCCUAAGUCGGGGCUUCGAUACGCUUGGCCCUGAGCUCCUAAGGUGAUCUGGGAGGGGCUGAGUAAGGGGGGACGCCCGUCCACAGCCAAGCCAUUUGUUGGCCCGUUUACCCUCAGGGCGGUGGGAACUGCAACACGGCAAGGAAGACGUGCAUGGCGUGGCGCCGAGAGGCUUGAUGAAGCCGCACUCUCUGCUCAGAUCCGGGCUAUUGAAGAACACGGAAGCCGGCGUCAUUCUGGUGGGUGGAGAAUCUGGAGGGAAAAAAAAAUCAAGCAGAUUGGUCAGUGACUUUCAUUUUUGUUUCUAAUGCCAGAAAGCAAUUGUUAAAGAUUUGAUUUUUUGACUUUGACUCGGCCUUACCCGAAAGGGAGAAAGGAGACGAUCCGUUUGCGCUGGUUCCGCCGUUCUCUUUGCUGCUGACUGAGGAUGACGAGCUGGGUUUGGACGUGGACGCCGCCCCGCUGGACAACUGCCGCGUUUUACUGUCUGAAGAGAGAAAGGCCAGGAGAGAGGCUGGAGAUCUGGAGCAAAUGGGAUGGAGACCUUUGCUACCUUUCCAGCAGAUGAGCGGUCCUUUGCACAAAGCACCCUGAGAGUUCUUCACCAGCCCACGCAGUUUCCAGAAAAACCUGCCACGCACAGGAAAUUGUUUCUUCAAACCAGAUGGACAGACAAUAUGGCCGUCCCGUCGGGGAGCACGCUGACCUAAAAGUGCAUUUUUGCCGUUGUCGUCGGGCAAAAAGCGGCGGUCCACGGCGCACACCAGGAUGUGCUCGGCCACGCUGGGGGACUUGGCGCCGACCAGCUCGAAGCCCGUCGGGACAUCGAUGGGCUCCGUCGCCAUGGAGACUAGGCGCAGGUCCUUGCCGGCCUGGCAGAAUCCUGAAAAUGAAAAUUCUCAUUUUAGUCAUCGGAGGAAACAGCUGUGGUGUCUUGACUUGAAACGUUUCUCCACUAAAAACUACAUUUGCGGAAUCAUAUCAGUCAAGGUCCUCCAGAUAAUUGGUGACAGUUAGUGGGCGGAACUUCCUGCUUCACACCUGUUACUGGCCCUUGCCAGCGCUCCUCCGCGUCAUUGGAUGAGUGGCUGUUGGUCAGCAGCUCCUGGGCGGGGAGCUCGCCGCUGUGGGGCUCCACUUUGGGUUUCACGUCAGCUGGAGGAUCAUCAUCAUCAUCAUGGUAUCCUGUGAGAGUAUGCAUGCACGCACGCCACUGACUGACCGUCCACGUUGGCAGGAUAAGGCUCGGGCUUCAGGUAGAGCUGCGUGAAGAUGGGUUGCGGGUCUCCGCUGCUGGAGCGCAGCGACGCCUCGAUGGAGUUGUGCAGGGCCUCUUCGAAGCGAGCAGACUUCAACUGCCCGGCGUAGGAAUUCCCCAUGAUCUGGUCGGAGGACAAAAUAGGUAAACCUCAACUGGGAGUGGGAAAUAGACAACUGGAAGGAAGCAGCGUGCAAGUGAGUCUUCUUUCUAUUUCUUUUUAGUGACGUUGUAUGAUGGCUUCUCAUUUGCGGAUAGUGAGAGAUUACACGUGAAAAGAAAAAAAGACACUCAGUCCCACAUCACAUACAACCAAAAUGAAAGAAAGACACUUUUAAUAAUUCUUCUGCCAUGUUUGCAUGAUGCCUGAGUGUUUGUGAGGUCACACUUUAUAGUGACCCUGUUGAUGAGUCCCGUUGCCAAGUUCCCAUUGUUCAGUAUUUUGGACUACUUUUCAACACUAAGGCCUCUUUGUGCGCGGCCUUCCUGUCCGCUAAUGAGCCGAGUCAAGAAUUUGUCGGGUAAACAGAAAUUCCGGACAGCGGGGGAGCAAGCGCACUUUAUAGCUUUGUGCCAAUAUUUACCCGUCCGCAUCAGUCAAUGACAAGGAUCCUAUCCAGAAUUGAAUGUGUACAGUAAAUGGCAUUAGGCCCGUGUUUCAGUUCAUUACCGCGGACGUGCUCAAACAGUUGUUUUAAUCAAGUCGUGCGCGGCUCUUCGCACCUCCCCUCCAAUGGCUAUACGAGGGGAAAAGUCAGC